rnacentral:rRNA from 1 species
CAGGUCGCAGAGAAGCUUACCAUGGAGAAUUACCUUCUCUGGAGGGCACAAAUAGUGCCUCACUUCCUUGGCGCCGGCCUGUACGGCUACCUCGACGGAUCCAUCGAGGCAUCAGCGAAGCUCAUAGUCACCAAGGACAAGGAUGGGAAGGACCAGACCGUCCCCAACCCAGCCUACGACGCGUGGGUUAGACAGGAUCAGCAGGUCCUCGGUCACAUCCUCAACAAUCUGACGAGGGACGUGCUGGUCUCUGUCAUCUCCAUCAGGACAUCAUAUGCCUUGUGGACCUCUCUCGGUAACAUGUUUGCAUCGCAAUCUUGUUCCCGUAUAAAUAAUCUUCGCAUCUCCCUAGCAAAUACCUAG